CGACCCCGCAGGGCCAGGCGACUACGCAGGCGGAGGGUCGCUUCCCACGAUCUGUUUUUGUAUAAACAUAGAAUGAAUAUCUAUCUAUCUAUCUAUCUAUAGGUGGAGCCAGAGGUCCCCGCAUGAAACCAGAAAUUAAUGACAUCCAAGUACAAGUACCGUACAAUUUUGAGGUUUAUGCUCGCAUCUGUUAUUGUCACCCCCUGCAAAGAGACCGAAAAAGACAUUGAUGGAGGAAGCUAAGAAAAGAAAACAGUGACCUAGCAAGAGGCUCCAGGACGUUGGUGUUGUGUGAAAUAAAAGGCAUGCGUUUCUAUCCCUCCAAAGGGAUAGAAAGCAGAAUGAGAAUGAGUUUCUUCAUUUUAAAUAUAUAAAAUUAAGAUGUGGAAAAAGUCUGCCAAACAUUUGCUCAUUAUUUGUGCUAUUAAUUAAUGUCAGAUACCACAUUGUAGCUGCCUCUGGUUAACAGAUACACAACACAGAUCAAAAGAUAUCUGAAAAUGCUGAA